GCCCUCAUAGCUCAAUGGACAGAGCACAGGUUUGCGGAACCUGAGAUGAAGGUCCGAUUCCUUCUGAGGGCA
rnacentral:tRNA from 1 species